AAAUGGUACCGUAACUUCGGGAGAAGGUACGCUCUCGACGGUGAAGUCCCUCGCGGAUGGAGCUGACGAGAGUCGCAGAUACCAGGUGGCUGCAACUGUUUAUUAAAAACACAGCACUGUGUAAAAUCGUAAGUUGACGUAUACGGUGUGACGCCUGCCCGGUGCCGGAAAGGUUAAUUGAUGGGGUUAGACUUCGGUCGAAGCUCUUGAUCGAAGCCCCGGUAAACGGCGGCCGUAACUAUAACGGUCCUAAGGUAGCGAAAUUCCUUGUCGGGUAAGUUCCGACCUGCACGAAUGGCGUAAUGAUGGCCACGCUGUCUCCACCCGAGACUCAGUGAAAUUGAAAUCGCUGUGAAGAUGCAGUGUACCCGCGGCUAGACGGAAAGACCCCGUGAACCUUUACUACAGCUUGGCACUGAACAUUGACCCUACAUGUGUAGGAUAGGUGGGAGGCUUUGAAGCACGUACGCCAGUAUGUGUGGAGCCGUCCUUGAAAUACCACCCUUGUAGUGUUGAUGUUCUAACGUCGACCCCUUAUCGGGGUUGCGGACAGUGCCUGGUGGGUAGUUUGACUGGGGCGGUCUCCUCCCAAAGAGUAACGGAGGAGCACGAAGGUGGGCUAAUCACGGUUGGACAUCGUGAGGUUAGUGCAAUGGCAUAAGCCCGCUUGACUGCGAGAAUGACAAUUCGAGCAGGUGCGAAAGCAGGUCAUAGUGAUCCGGUGGUUCUGAAUGGAAGGGCCAUCGCUCAACGGAUAAAAGGUACUCCGGGGAUAACAGGCUGAUACCGCCCAAGAGUUCAUAUCGACGGCGGUGUUUGGCACCUCGAUGUCGGCUCAUAACAUCCUGGGGCUGAAGUCGGUCCCAAGGGUAUGGCUGUUCGCCAUUUAAAGUGGUACGCGAGCUGGGUUUAGAACGUCGUGAGACAGUUCGGUCCCUAUCUGCCGUGGGCGUUGGAAGAUUGAAGGGGGCUGCUCCUAGUACGAGAGGACCGGAGUGGACGAACCUCUGGUGUUCGGGUUGUGUCGCCAGACGCAUUGCCCGGUAGCUAAGUUCGGAAUCGAUAACCGCUGAAAGCAUCUAAGCGGGAAGCGAGCCCUGAGAUGAGUCUUCCCUGAUACUUUAAGUAUCCUAAAGGGUUGUCGGAGACUACGACGUUGAUAGGUCAGGUGUGUAAGUGCUGUGAGGCAUUGAGCUAACUGAUACUAAUUGCCCGUGAGGCUUAACCAUACAACACCCAAGGGGUUU
rnacentral:rRNA from 1 species